rnacentral:lncRNA from 1 species
AUAUUUCUUCUGGAGAGGCACCUGCAUCAAGUUGAUUAUAUGAGUUAAAAGGCUUGGCAGAUUGGGGAAGAUUACUCAAAGAUUUAAAGGGUGCUUGAAGAGAUGAAGUUAGUACUUACGUAAAAGUUUCUUGUGCAUUUGGGCUUCAUUUGUACUAGAGCAUGCUGAACUUACAAGGCAGUUUCUCUUCUUUGUUUGCUUUGUUUUUGCCAGUUUUGCCUGCAUCUCUGUGACAAGGGCUUCCAUGCUUGUCUGUGGUCUGUCUGUGUUCCCGACUUCUCGCAUGUCAUAAUCAACAGGUGGCUGACUGCUGCGGUAUUCUGGGUGCCUUUUACGUUGUGCAAUUCCAUUAAGUGAAGCCAAAUCUUGAAUCCCUGUGGUUUCUCUGGUUCUCUUUUUCUUUGAACUCUCUGUUUGAUUUGAAGCCAUGAUGUAAUUAAAAGUUUGCAUUUUAUUCAGAGAAAAUUUUCUCCCUGCUUCAUGUUCUGUUGAAACUCCACUAGAAAUGAGUUGAUGGGGAUUUACUUCCAUCUUAUCUACCAGACAUGCUUCUGCAGGAACAAGACUUCUUGCAGCUGUGAUUGAUGAAGAUGCACUGGAUGUGGCAGAAUUUUGCCCUUUGCCAGUUCUCUUUCUCCUGUGAAUAUGAGGAAAUUGCAUCCCUAGAAUCAUCUGGUAUGCACAGAAAUUGUUGUAGUGACUCCCAUAAGAAUUUACAAUUCUGGUAUCUUCUUGUUGAGUUGCUGCUGACUUGUUUGCUUGUCCUCCCUCCAGUAGCGAGCUGGUUCUGCACUUGGAGUCGAUCAGACUUCUUGCUGGUAACUGAGCAUCGGAGUCCAAUGUGGUGCGUUCAUUUCUUUUUAGUCCAUCAUGGCCAGUGGCUUUAUCUUUUCCUCUCCUAUUACUGAGCUUCUGGGGAUGAGUAUUUUGUCUUCUAUGGGAGGGAUUAUUCUUGGUCGGAACUGGUGUGCCUGGAGCUUGAUCUUCAGGCAGAGAUAAGUCAUCUUUCGGCUUUUCCUUUACAGAUUGUUUUAGUUCAAAGGCAAUCCCUGUCUGUGUCUUUUCUGCGUCCACUUCAAUUAUGCCACAAAGCUGAACCAUAGACUUCGAUUGACUUCCUUCUUUCCCCAGGUUUUCUGUCCCUGGACUAGAAUUUAAAUUGCAGGCUGGCUUGCAUGCAGAGCUUUCUUCUCUUUCUUGUCCUACUGUGUCAAAAUCUAAUGCCCUCCUGCAUGGUUUCUUAUUAUGCUCGAGUGUUUCUGGAUGAGUGGCCCCCUUUCCACCUUCUUGUGUGGGAAUUGUUGAGUCUUUGUUGAGUCCCUUUCUUCGCACAUACUUCCUCUUACCUGUUGAUUUCUCUGCAUUCGCUACUCCUAGGAGGAUUGAUGUGUCGUUUUUCACUGUACUCUUUCGUACAUAUUUCCUCUUACCAGUUGGGGUUUCUUGAGAACCAUCAGGCUUUGGAGUCGCUGGCUUUCUGGGCCUUCUAGGUUUGCCCUCAGUAAUUACCUUGGGCCUGUGCUUUCUCUUCCUCUGUUUCUGCUGUGGUGUUGUUAUUUCUAGUUCAGCAAGAUGGCUGCCUCCAUUAUCAGAGUUCUGAUUUUCCUUGCUCGGUGUAGCAGUCAAGGAUGACUUUAAAACAGGCAUUUGGAGCUCCUUACUGCAUUGAACUACAUUCACAUCAAGUCGAGCAGGAACCAGUUCAUUUGCUUGCUCAUCUUGUUUUUCUGUUAUGUUCACAAUGUAUAACUUUCCUAUUUCUGGAACCUCUUUCAUUUCAGCUGUUCUGGCCUUAUCUGGAGUGAUAGGGGCAAAGUCAGAGAUGCUCGUUUGAGAGAAUGCUUCGCUUGGUCCAGCAGGCAGAUUGAAGUCGUAAUCAUAUGGAUUCUGUGGAGGAAUGACAUCUGUAAACAAUGUAAGUUUAACCUCAUUCAUGUGAGAGCACUACAAAAUUUAGAACUUUCAACAUUUAAUGAUAAAGAAGACAUAUAGUGGAGAAAUUCCCAGGAUGAAAAUCGUUGUCUGAUGUAUUGCAGGACUUGUGUGCAUUCCCUUUUUUUAGUUUUCAAGUAACUUAUUGAGAUGAAAAUUUUAUAUACACUGUUGCAUAGGAGAUGAUUAUAAAUAAAACCAGUGCUGGAAAAAGGAAAAGAGGAAAUAAUGUUUCCAAUGCCAUUCAUCUUUACUUAGAGGUUUCAUUGUUCUUAAUUUUUAUCUCAAUUUCAUAAUGUGUCUUUAAUACUAAUUUUAACUCUCUCACAACAUAUUGACAACUAGGUGCUGUAAUUCAAAUAUAAAUAGCAUACUAAUUUUUACGCUUACUUUGAUUUUUUCUUGGCGUGCAGUUGCCAGCAAUCCGUAUGUUUCGUUGAGUUGAUAAAUUUACAUGCACAGGAAAGAGCCCAGAAGGUCCACAUCCAGAAUGGUUAUUAAUUCCCACCGGUGCUGCACUUGUAGAUGCAGCUGAGACUGCAGUUGCAA